ACUACGGUGUGCAGCAGUGAGGAAUAUUGGUCAAUGGCCGAGAGGCUGAACCAGCCAAGUCGCGUGAGGGAAGAAUGUCCUAUGGAUUGUAAACCUCUUUUGUCAGGGAGCAAAGUCACCCACGUGUGGGUGUUUGAGAGUACCUGAAGAAAAAGCAUCGGCUAACUCCGUGCCAGCAGCCGCGGUAAUACGGAGGAUGCGAGCGUUAUCCGUUUUUAUUGGGUUUAAAGGGUGCGUAGGCGGGUUAUCAAGUCAGAGGUAAAAUCGUGGAGCUCAACUCCAUCCAGCCGUUGAAACUGGUGAUCUUGAGUGGGCGAGAAGUAUGCGGAAUGCGUGGUGUAGCGGUGAAAUGCAUAGAUAUCACGCAGAACUCCGAUUGCGAAGGCAGCAUACCGGCGCCCGACUGACGCUGAAGCACGAAAGCGUGGGUAUCGAACAGGAUUAGAUACCCCUGUAGUC
rnacentral:rRNA from 1 species